AGCGAACGUUAGCGGCGGGCCUAACACAUGCAAGUCGAACGCGAAAGGUCUUCGGACUGAUUAGAGUGGCGCACGGGUGAGUAACACGUAGGUAAUCUACCCUUUGGCGGGGGAUAACGUUCCGAAAGGAGCGCUAAUACCGCAUAAGACCACGGAGUCUCCGGACGCUGUGGGAAAAAGGUGGCCCUCUUCUUGAAAGCUAUCACCGGAGGAUGAGCCUGCGUCCCAUCAGCUAGUUGGUAAGGUAAUGGCUUACCAAGGCAAAGACGGGUAGCUGGUUUGAGAGAAUGAUCAGCCACACUGGCACUGGAACACGGGCCAGACUCCUACGGGAGGCAGCAGUGAGGAAUAUUGGGCAAUGGGCGAAAGCCUGACCCAGCCACGCCGCGUGAGUGAUGAAGGCCCUCGGGUCGUAAAGCUCUGUGGAGAGGGACGAAAAACCUGGGGUCUAAUAGGCCCCGGACUUGACGGUACCUCUUUAGCAAGCACCGGCUAACUCUGUGCCAGCAGCCGCGGUAAAG
rnacentral:rRNA from 1 species